UACGAAGGGGGCUAGCGUUGCUCGGAAUCACUGGGCGUAAAGGGUGCGUAGGCGGGUUUUUAAGUCAGGGGUGAAAUCCUGGAGCUCAACUCCAGAACUGCCUUCGAUACUGGCGAUCUCGAGUCCGGGAGAGGUGAGUGGAACUGCGAGUGUAGAGGUGAAAUUCGUAGAUAUUCGCAAGAACACCAGUGGCGAAGGCGGCUCACUGGCCCGGUACUGACGCUGAGGUGCGAAAGCGUGGGGAGCAAACAGG
rnacentral:rRNA from 1 species